ACACACUCGCUGAGGGACUCACACGGGGCUGGACAGACUAUACGAGACCUGCUCAACACGCCCGAACAAGUCCCGCACCGCCGCUCGCUUUUCCCGCCGACCUGCACCGACAACUCUUUCCACCCGCUUCGACUCGCUCGCUUGCUUGCACUCGAGACAGGUCUCGCUCGCCCGCUCGAACUGUCUUGCUCUCGCUUCUCUGUAUGGCUUCGUGUCUGUCGCAAUGCAUCGCUGUCUCC
rnacentral:misc_RNA from 1 species